GCGAGUGAGAGGGAAGAGCCCAAGAUUGAAAGCUGGCGUCUUCGGCGUCCGCAUUGUAAUCUCAAGAAGUGUUUUCCGCUUCGGACCAUGCCUAAGUCCCUUGGAAAAGGGCAUCAUAGAGGGUGAUAAUCCCGUACAUGGCAUGGAGCGCCCGAAGCUUUGUGAUACGCUUUCUAAGAGUCGAGUUGUUUGGGAAUGCAGCUCAAAAUGGGUGGUAAAUGCCAUCUAAGGCUAAAUAUUGGGGAGAGACCGAUAGCGAACAAGUACAGUGAUGGAAAGAUGAAAAGAACUUUGAAAAGAGAGUUAAACAGUACGUGAAAUUGCCAAAAGGGAAGGGUAGGAGGUCAGAGAUGCGUUCUGGGAUUCAGCCUUGCUUUUGCUUGGUGUUUUUCCCAGAUUGCAGGCCAACGUCGGUUUUGGUCGCUGGAGAAGGGUGGAAGGAAUGUGGCACCUCUCGGGGUGUGUUAUAGCCUUCUACUGGAUACAGUGACCGGGACCGAGGACAGCAGCGUACUCGCAAGAGCGGGCCUUCGGGCACCUUUACGCUUAGGGCGUUGGCAUAAUGGCCCUCUACCACCC
rnacentral:rRNA from 1 species